rnacentral:rRNA from 1 species
GACGAACGCUGGCGGCGUGCCUAAUACACGCAAGUCGAGCGCAGGAAGCUCACGGAACUCUUCGGAGGGAGGUGAAGGGAAUGAGCGGCGGACGGGUGAGUAACACGUAAGGAACCUGCCCCAAGGAUUGGGAUAACUCCGAGAAAUCGGAGCUAAUACCGAAUAGUUCUUCAGACCACAUGGUCUGAUGAUGAAAGGCGCUUCGGCGUCACCUUGGGAUGGCCUUGCGGUUCAUUAGCUAGUUGGUGGGGUAAUGGCCCACCAAGGCGACGAUGCAUAGCCGACCUGGGAGGGUGAUCGGCCACACUGGGACUGAGACACGGCCCAGACUCCUACGGGAGGCAGCAGUAGGGAAUCUUCCACAAUGGACGAAAGUCUGAUGGAGCAACGCCGCGUGAGUGAUGAAGGUUUUCGGAUCGUAAAACUCUGUUGUAAGGGAAGAACAGGCAUGAGAGGUAAUGCUCAUGCUAUGACGGUACCUUGCGAGAAAGCCACGGCUAACUACGUGCCAGCCGCCGCGGUAACAC